UUCCAGACUCCUACGGGAGGCAGCAGUGGGGAAUAUUGCACAAUGGGGGGAACCCUGAUGCAGCGACGCCGCGUGGGUGAAGGAGCACCUCGGUGCGUAAAGCCCUAUCGGCAGGGAAGAAAAGCGAACAGGUUCGCCUGGACGGUACCUGACUAAGAAGCUCCGGCUAACUACGUGCCAGCAGCCGCGGUAAUACGUAGGGAGCGAGCGUUGUCCGGAAUUACUGGGUGUAAAGGGAGCGUAGGCGGGGAUGCAAGUUGGGUGUCAAAACUACCGGCUCAACUGGUAGUCGCACUCAAAACUGCAGCUCUUGAGUGAAGUAGAGGCAGGCGGAAUUCCUAGUGUAGCGGUGAAAUGCGUAGAUAUUAGGAGGAACACCAGUGGCGAAGGCGGCUUACUGGACAGUAACUGACGUUGAGGCUCGAAAGCGUGGGGAGCAAACAGGAUUAGAUACCCGGGUA
rnacentral:rRNA from 1 species